rnacentral:antisense_RNA from 1 species
GAUUGAAACUGAAUUAGAAGAGUCAACACAGCUCAGAGAUUGACAGUGACUGGGGGGCUUUACAUGUCCUUAUUUGUGAGAGAGGGUAACAGCUUCCAAUUAAUUACAUCUUCUUGGGCACAAAGAAUUGCUUUUGUGGUGGGACAGAAGUUCAAAGGUGUAGGGCUGUGCGCAGAUUCUGAGUGGCUAACAGGGGCUGUGCCAGUUAGGAAGCUCUUGUCUCUCAGUUCCACACCCGCUCUUUUUAGCUCUGCUUUUGCGAUACCAGGGAUAGAACUCUGCAAACAUCUCUGCUUCGCAGCUGGCAUCCUGUUGGAUUUUUCCAGUAGAGGGAAGCUUCCAUGCUGCAGGAAGAAGGGGCGUGCUCCUUCCCGUUCCUGUCAGCACUGCUGCAGCAGUUUGCUCUCACAGCGCAUGUGAUCACAGUUGCCAUUUCUGACCUGCUCAGAACCAGCUUCAUGAUGGGCUCAAAGACCCAGGACCAGCUCUGGCAUGUACACGUGGCCACGGUACCCUUCAUACAACACGGGAUGAGAACAACAGGACGCCCAGGAGGCAUCUGGACAGCACACAGCAAACAGAAAGGCUGAACGCCCCCCCCACGGAACCCCAUUAAAAAACAAUAUUUGUCUAUUACAAA